UACGUAGGGCGCAAGCGUUGUCCGGAAUUAUUGGGCGUAAAGAGCUCGUAGGCGGCUCGUCGCGUCGACCGUGAAAACCCGCGGCUUAACUGCGGGCUUGCGGUUGAUACGGGCGGGCUAGAGUUCGGUAGGGGAGACUGGAAUUCCUGGUGUAGCGGUGAAAUGCGCAGAUAUCAGGAAGAACACCCGUGGCGAAGGCGGCUCUCUGGAACGCAACUGACGCUGAGACGCGAAAGCGUGGGGAGCAAACAGG
rnacentral:rRNA from 1 species